rnacentral:rRNA from 1 species
GAUGAACGCUAGCGGCAGGCUUAAUACAUGCAAGUCGAGGGGCAGCAUGAGUGUAGCAAUACAUUUGAUGGCGACCGGCAAACGGGUGCGGAACACGUACACAACCUUCCUAUAAGUGGGGAAUAGCCCAGAGAAAUUUGGAUUAAUACCCCGUAACAUAAUGAUGUGGCAUCACAUUAUUAUUAUAGCUACGGCGCUUAUUGAUGGGUGUGCGGCUGAUUAGAUGGUUGGCGGGGUAACGGCCCACCAAGUCUACGAUCAGUAGCUGAUGGGAGCGCAUGAUCAACCACACGGGCACUGAGACACGGGCCCAACUCCUACGGUAGGCGGCAGUAAGGAAUAUUGGUCAAUGGACGCAAGUCUGAACCAGCCGUGCCGCGUGAAGGAUUAAGGUCCUCUGGAUUGUAAACUUCUUUUAUCUGGGACGAAAAAAGGCGAUUCUUCGUCACUUGACGGUACCAGAUGAAUAAGCACCGGCUAACUCCGUGCCAGCAGCCGCGGUAACAC